GUCACGCGAUCGUUAGCGGAAUCUUAUUGCUGCCCUACUUCCGCCAACCGACCGCCCCGCUGGAUUGCGAGAAGAUAAUUCUGCGUUGACCCGGUCCUUUCGGUUCCGGAUUCCUCAGCCCCCAGCCCCCCGGGGCCGUCGGGAUCGGGUCUGUUCGCAGGGGAGUUAAUCCCGAACUCGGGCCAACGAAAGUUGGUCCUUUU
rnacentral:sRNA from 1 species